AAAGGCGUGUCAGGGAAGGUUGGCGGUGGUCGGUUCGGGCCUGGUUAAGACGCGGCGUUGGGGACCCGUUACUGUAGACCAGAAGCUGGGAGGGGUUAAUUGGUGGACGCCUUCGCGGGGUGGCUGGUGGCGCAGAGUUAGGAGACGUGGCGCAACGAAUGAGUACAGAGGAGGGGCUCCGUGCAAGGCGGGGGCGGGCGGGGGGCGGGUAGGGCUGCAGCGCUAGGAACCGGGUCACCGGGUCUAGGUCAAAGUCGCCCUGGCAGGUAUAGGGCUCUUCAUGCCUUUUUCUGGAGUGUUAUUGAGGUGGAAUCGCUUUUUCUCCCUGGUGGCGCCAGUUGGAUCCUUCCAGAAUGAGCUCAACGGAGUCUGACGCCGAACACUGUUCUUCCGGGACCUAGGUUUAGUUCACAAAUUGGGUAUUUCUCUCCAGGGUGUUUCUCUCCAGGGCAACUAAUACACUGCGUGCCUACCAGUUGCCAGCCUGGCGAGGGCACGUUUGCGUCGUUUGGCUCAUUCACUCUUGCUCUCUGUUGUUAGUCCCCAGAAUUCAAAAGUUGGAAAGCCCGUGGGCGGCACUAUUCUUUUCCUACUAAUUUGUAGCUUUAAUAACACAUAAGGGGAAGCACAUUAGAUUGUAUUUACUUAUGGAGGGAGCUUUCUCGUUACGUUUUAUUUUAAGCUUUUCUACAACACUGCAAAAGGGGUUUGCAAAAAUUCCAUUUUUAUAUGCUAUGUUGACCAUCUCUGGGAUGCAGCUAUAGAAGGAAACGAACUGCCUUUUCAAAUUUUUUUUUUUUGAGACAAGAGUCUCGCUCUGUCGCCCGGGCUGGAGUGCAGUGGCACUAUCUCCGCUCACUGCAAGGUCCGCCUCCUGGGUUCAAGCCAUUCUCCUGCCUCAGCCUCCCGAGCAGCUGGGACUAUAGGCACCCACCACCACGCCCGGCUAAUUUUUUGUAUUUUUAGUAGAGACGGGGUUUCACCGUGUUAGCCAGGAUGGUCUUGAUCUCCUGACCUCGUGAUCCGCCCACCUCAGCCUCCCAAAGUGCUGGGAUUACAGGCGUGAGCCACCACGCCAGGCCUUCAGGUUUUAAUUAUAAGGGAAAUGCUUGAAGGCUGCCUUAGGGUUUUAAGAUUAUAUUUUGCUAUAAGGAAACUCUGUAUUUUAUCGGUAAAUGAUCAUUAGCGUGUAAGCAACUGUCUUAAGUGAACUAAAUACAGGCUUUCUCAAGGAAUACAGCAGGGGUAAUAUUAAUAACCACCAAAUACCAAAAAUGUAUUUUGACCUAUUUUGCAACAGUGUCGUAAUGCAUAUUGUGAUUCAUGUGUGGAAGGGAGUUUUGUAAAUAAUAAAUAAUAAAAGCAUACUACACUUGCCAAGACUUAUGAUUAAAGACUAAAUUAAAUUAGGAGGCCAAAAACUUAGCAAAUGUUAUUGGGAUCUGCUUUAACUCAAAGUUUCCAAAUUCCAUUUAUAUUUGUGAAAUAAGAUUUCUGCACGUGUUUUGGUUCUAGAGAUGUGAAGGGUCAUGAUUUUCCUAAGAAGUUCCACUGACUAUUCUGACCAUUCUAGAUAAACAUCUGUGAAUUUUUUAUUUUUUAUUUUUUGAGAUGGAGUCUCGCUGUGUUGCCGAGGCUGCAGUCGCCCUGACUUCGUGAUCCGCGCGCAUGGGCCUCCCAAAGUGCUGGGAUUACAGGCGUGAGCCACCGCUCCCGGCCCACCUGUGAAUUUUCAAAUUAAACUAUUACAAUAAUGGCUGGUGCUGUGGCUCACGCCUGUAAUCCCAGCUACUCAGGUGGCUGAGGCAUGAAAAUAACUUGAACCCAGAAGGUGGAGGCUGCAGUGAGCUGAGAUCGUGCUACUGCACUCCAGCCUGGGUGACAGAAGGAGAUUCUGUCUCAAAACAAAACAAAAAAACCUUUAAAUUGAAGUGGUGCCAUAUGUAAAGAAGUUAAAAUCAAGUCUGGCCUAAAGUGGGAAUUCUAAUUUCUUGUAAAUGACAAAGUUAAGCUGUUGUGUAUGAAACCGUUUACCUGCAGCUCUGCACCGGGUUGGAAAUAAGGACUGCUUUUUCUGGGAGUGACCCAUACAGUGGAAUACGACCCAGAAAUAAAAAGGAAUGAACUAUGAAUACAUGUAACAACAUGGAUUAUGCUGAGUGAAAGAAGCCAGAUAAAAAAGAGUACAUGGUGUAUGAUUCCAUUUACAUAAAACUUGAAAAUGCAAACUAAUCUAUAGUGACAAAGCAAAUCAGUGAUUCCUUGGGGAUGGGGGUGGAGGGUGGUGGGAGGAAGGAGAAAUGGGAGAGAGGGAGGGAUUACUAAAGGGUACCAGGAAACCCAUGGGUGUGAUGGAUAUGUGCAUUAUUUUGAUUGUGGUAAUGGUUUUAUGGGCAUAUAUUUCAAAAUUUAUCAAAUUAUAUAAAGUAUUGUUUAAUUCGUGUCUGUCAUACUUGAAUAAAGCAGUUCAAAAAAAGAUUUUAAAAAGUCAUGUAUAGUUAGAGUGAAGAUCUAGCAUCUGAUAGCACAACAGUGUCUAUAGUCAACAAUUUAUUGUACAUUUAAAAAUAAAAAUAUAAUUGGGUUGUAACACAAAGGAUAAAUGCUGAAGCGAUGGAUACUCCAUUUACCUUUAUGUGUCUAUUAUGAAUUGUAUGCCUGUAUCAAAAUGUCUCAUGUACCCUAUAAUAUAUACUUCUACUAUGUACCCCAAAAAAUUUAAAAAUAAAAUGACUCAUAGGACUCAGAUCCUACAAGAGUGAGAUGUUCCAUUUUCAAUGAUGAGAUUUCAAAGUUUUUGCCAAACUAUGAUUUUAAAGAACAAGGUUUCUCAACACUAUAUCCUUGAUGUUCAUUAACAAAAACUUUUUUUUUUUUUUGAAAUGGAGUUUCACUGUUUUUGCCUAGGCUGGAGCGCAAUGGCAUGAUCUUGGCUCACUGCAACCUCUGCCUCCCAGGUUUGAGCGAUUCUCCUGCCUCAGCCUCCCGAGUAACUGGGAUUACAGGUGCCCACCACCACGCCCGGCUAAUUUUUUGUAUUUUUAGUAGAGACGGGAUUUCACCAUGGCCAGGCUGGUCUUGAACUUCUGACCUCAGGUGAUCCGCCUGCCUGGGCCUCCCAGAGUGCUGGGAUUACAGGCGUGAGCCACAGCGCCUGGCCACAAAAACAUUUUUUAAUGAGUUUGCACAAUAUUCACUUAAAGUAUCACUUAUAAUGGCGAGAUAUUGUCUGUCUCUGAUUUAACAUACUUUAUUGUAUAGUUAGAUUAUUGACAGGAUUUUUUUUUGCCAUUAAAUGCAGUUCUGUCAUGAAUAUGUUUGUAACUAAAUCUUUGUGAAUAUCCAUGAUUACCUCCUGAGAUGGAGUAGUGGUGCUGUGCUAUAAUUGCCUGAGCCAUAGCUCACAAUUUGUGAAUUAA
rnacentral:lncRNA from 1 species